GAUGAACGCUGGCGGCGUGCCUAAUACAUGCAAGUCGAGCGAACAGACGAGGAGCUUGCUCCUCUGACGUUAGCGGCGGACGGGUGAGUAACACGUGGAUAACCUACCUAUAAGACUGGGAUAACUUCUGGAAACCGGAGCUAAUACCGGAUAAUAUAUUUAACCGUAUGUUUCAAUAGUGAAAGACGGUUUUGCUUUCACUUAUAGAUGGAUCCGCGCCGCAUUAGCUAGUUGGUAAGGUAACGGCUUACCAAGGCAACGAUGCUUAGCCGACCUGAGAGGGUGAUCGGCCACACUGGAACUGGGACACGGUCAAGACUCCUACGGGAGGAAGAAGUAGGGAAUCUUCCGAAAGGGGCGAAAGCCUGACGGAGAAACGCGGCGUGAGUGAUGAAGGUCUUCGGAUCGUAAAACUCUGUUAUUAGGGAAGAACAAAUGUGUAAGUAACUAUGCACGUCUUGACGGUACCUAAUCAGAAAGCCACGGCUAACUACGUG
rnacentral:rRNA from 1 species